GUUACCAUCAUUAAGUUGGGGACGCUAGCGAGACUGCCAGUGAUAAACUGGAGGAAGGUGGGGAGUGACGUCAAAUCAUCAUGCCCCUUACUGACCUGGGCGUACAAACGUGAUACAAUGGCUGGACAAAGGGAUGCGAAGCAGUGAUGUGGAGCGAAACCCAUAAAAACAGUCUCAGUUCGGAUUGAAGUCUGCAACUCGACUUCAUGAAGUCGGAAUCGCUAGUAAUCGCGGAUCAGAACGCCGCGGUGAAUACGUUCUCGGGGUUU
rnacentral:rRNA from 1 species